UAAUGUACCCAGUGUAUACGCCACUCUAGUUAAUACCGUACACGGUGUGACCUCUCUCUCUCUCUUCUAACAGUUAUAAUAGACCUGUACCACGGUGUGACCUCUCUCAUCUCUCUCGCAACAGUUAUAAUAGACCUGUACCACGGUGUGACCUCUCUCUCUCUCUCUAACAGUUAUAAUAGACCUGUACCACGUGUGACCUCUCUCUCUCUCUCUAACAUUAUAUAA
rnacentral:lncRNA from 1 species